rnacentral:rRNA from 1 species
AGUGAACGCUGGCGGUAGGCCUAACACAUGCAAGUCGAACGGCAGCACAGUAAGAGCUUGCUCUUACGGGUGGCGAGUGGCGGGCGGGUGAGGAAUACAUCGGAAUCUACUUUUUCGUGGGGGAUAACGUAGGGAAACUUACGCUAAUACAGCAUACGACCUACGGGUGAAAGCAGGGGAUCUUCGGACCUUGCGCGGUUGAAUGAGCCGAUGUCGGAUUAGCUAGUUGGCGGGGUAAAGGCCCACCAAGGCGACGAUCCGUAGCUGGUCUGAGAGGAUGAUCAGCCACACUGGAACUGAGACACGGUCCAGACUCCUACGGGAGGCAGCAGUGGGGAAUAUUGGACAAUGGGCGCAAGCCUGAUCCAGCCAUACCGCGUGGGUGAAGAAGGCCUUCGGGUUGUAAAGCCCUUUUGUUGGGAAAGAAAAGCAGCAGGUUAAUACCCCGCUGUUCUGACGGUACCCAAAGAAUAAGCACCGGCUAACUUCGUG